GGCCUUAUAAAUAAGGUGUUUUGAAAACAUCUUUUAAGAUAAAAUCUUUGGGGUCA
rnacentral:tRNA from 1 species